rnacentral:rRNA from 1 species
UACGGAGGGGGCUAGCGUUGUUCGGAAUUACUGGGCGUAAAGCGUACGUAGGCGGCUUUGUAAGUUAGAGGUGAAAGCCCGGGGCUCAACCCCGGAAUUGCCUUUAAGACUGCAUCGCUUGAAUCAUGGAGAGGUGAGUGGAAUUCCGAGUGUAGAGGUGAAAUUCGUAGAUAUUCGGAAGAACACCAGUGGCGAAGGCGACUCACUGGACAUGUAUUGACGCUGAGGCGCGAAAGCGUGGGGAGCAAACAGG